GCCAGUUGUUCAAGCAAUAUGUAUGAAAAAGAAUCAAUUAUUAUGAAAGUACUGAUUUAUUUCAGCACUCUUCAUUCAAUAUUUUACCAUAAGUGUCAUGUUAUUUUGGGAUUUACAUAGGUGCUGUUUAUCAAAUUGAGGGGGUUUCUUUCUGUUCCUAGUUAGCUGAGAAAUUUUGAUCAUUGGGGGGUGUUGAAUAAAUGCUAAAUACAUUUUCUUUAUUGAUAAUACAGUGAAUUUUACAUGUUUGUGUGCACACAUACAUAUAAAAAUCUUAAAUCUUUCAUUCUAUUUUAAAAAACAUUUAUGCUUUUAGUUGUAGAUGGAUACAUAUUUUAUUUUUAUAUGGUGCUGAGGAUUGAACCCAGUGCCUCACGUAUGCUAGGCGAGUGCUCUGCCUCUAAGCCACAACUGCAGCCCUUAAAUCUUUCAUUCUUGAGGAAAAACUCUACUCGUACAUGAUGUGAUGUAAUUCUCAGUUCUACUGUGCUGAAUUGUAUGUUUGGGCAAGUUAUAUUUUCAUUUCCAUGUGUCUCAAGAUACUAUCUAAAUUUUCUUUUGAUUUCUUCUUUGGCUUAUUGCUUAUUUUUAUAUUUUAGAUAAGUUGUCCCCAAAAAAACCCGUGUGUGUGAAAUGCAGGAAUGUUCAGAGGUGAUAUGAUUAGGUAAUGAGAGCUGUAACCUAAUCAGUGGAUUAAUCCAUUUAAUGGAUUAUUAAUAUGAAAAAACUACUGACUGUACUGUACUGUACUGUACUUCCAGCUUAAAAAGAAUUUAUAUAGGCAUGUGACUAAAAACAGGUAAGAUAUGACUGGAGGAGGCACAUCACUGGGGGCAUGUCUUUGAGCAUUUGAAGUAUAUUCCAUCGCAUCAUGACUUUGAGACAAUUGACACAAAAUUUCAGAAAAUUCAGAGCAUUUGACACAAGCUCCACUCUUCCUUUCUU
rnacentral:lncRNA from 1 species